GGAAGUAAAAGUCGAAACAAGGUCUCCGUAGGUGAACCUGCGGAGGGAUCAUUACAGAGUUCAUGCCCUACCGGGUAGAUCUCCCACCCUAUGUUAUUAUUACUUUGUUGCUUUGGCGGGCCGUUAGGCUCCGGCCCGACUACCGGCCCCGGCUGGUAAGCGCCCGCCAGAGGACCCAAAACCCUGAAUAUUAGUGUCGUCUGAGUACUAUAUAAUAGUUAAAACUUUCAACAACGGAUCUCUUGGUUCUG
rnacentral:misc_RNA from 1 species